rnacentral:lncRNA from 1 species
AAACUAGCCGGGCGAGGUGGCGGGCGCCUGUAGUCACAGCUACUCGGGAGGCUGAGGCAGGAGAAUGGCACGAACCCGGGAGGCGGACCUUGCAGUGAGCUGAGAUCGGGCCACCGCACUCCAGCCUGGGUGGUGACAGAGCAAGACUCCGUCUCAAAAAAAAAAAAAAAAAAAAAAAAAAAAAAAAAAAAAAAAAAAAAAAAAAAAAAAAAAAAAAAAAAAAAAAAAAAAAUUAGCCGGGCUUGGCAGCAGGCGGUAGUCCCAGCUACUCAGAAGGCUCAGGCAGGAGAAUGGUGUGCACCGGAAAGGCAGAGCUUGCAGUGAGCCGAGAUCGCGCCACUGCACUCCAGCCUGGGGGAGAGAGUGAGACCCUGUCUCGAAAAAUAAAAAAAUAACUUGUGCACGCA